UGGAACCACAAUCUGGUACGGACUAGGA
rnacentral:sRNA from 1 species